rfam:Peptoniphilus sp. BV3C26 contig00005, whole genome shotgun sequence.
AUCAAUGGUUAUAGAAGAUUAAAAACUGUAACCGGGAUUAAAAUGGGAACAUUUGUUAAAAAGAAUAAAUUGAAUAAUAGUUCCAAGUGGUUUUCAUUUGGACAAAAAAAAUAAGACCGUAGUCUUAGGCUGC